rnacentral:misc_RNA from 1 species
GAAAUGCGAUAAGUAAUGUGAAUUGCAAAAUUCCGUGAAUCAUUAAAUCUUUGAACGCACCUUGCGCUCUUUGGCAAUCCAGAGAGCAUGUCUGUUUGAGAAUCAGUUUAAAUCUCACCUCCAGGAACUAACCUUCCGGGAAGUGGUUCUGGGUUUUCUGUGUAUGCAGAAUGCCUUAAAUCCAAGUUGACUGGUAUAAAACUGUUUAGAAACCGGAAAGCAUGACCAAUGGACUCUUGUUCAUGAUUGCUGACAAAGGAACUAAGGGUUUUAUAUUCACUUCAAACCAAUUUAAACACAAAGGCCAACACCUUUAAGACUUGAUCUCAAAUCAGACAAGACUACCCGCUGAACUUAA